rnacentral:rRNA from 1 species
CAGCCGCCACGGUAAAACGUAGGGUGCAAGCGUUAAUCGGAAUUACUGGGCGUAAAGCGUGCGCAGGCGGUUCGCUAAGACAGAUGUGAAAUCCCCGGGCUUAACCUGGGAACUGCAUUUGUGACUGGCGGGCUAGAGUAUGGCAGAGGGGGGUAGAAUUCCACGUGUAGCAGUGAAAUGCGUAGAGAUGUGGAGGAAUACCGAUGGCGAAGGCAGCCCCCUGGGCCAAUACUGACGCUCAUGCACGAAAGCGUGGGGAGCAAACAGGAUUAGAUACCCCUGUAGUCCCUGUCUCUUAUAC